CGCCUGGGGAGUGCGGCCGCAAGGCUAAAACUCAAAGAAAUUGACGGGGGCCCGCACAAGCGGCGGAGCAUGCGGAUUAGUUCGAUGCAACGCGAAGAACCUUACCAAGGCUUGACAUAUACUGGACCGCAUCAGAGAUGGUGUUUCCCUUCGGGGCUGGUAUACAGGUGGUGCAUGGUUGUCGUCAGCUCGUAUCGUGAGAUGUUGGGUUAAGUCCCGCAACGAGCGCAACCCUCGUUCUAUGUUGCCAGCACGUUAUGGUGGGGACUCAUAGGAGACUGCCGGGGUCAACUCGGAGGAAGGUGGGGAUGACGUCAAAUCAUCACGCCCCUUAUGUCUUGGGCUUCACGCAUGCUACAAUGGCCGGUACAGAGGGUUGCGAUACUGUGAGGUGGAGCUAAUCCCUAAAAGCCGGUCUCAGUUCGGAUUGGGGUCUGCAACUCGACCCCAUGAAGUCGGAGUCGCUAGUAAUCGCAGAUCAGCAACGCUGCGGUGAAUACGUUCCCGGGCCUUGUACACACCGCCCGUCAAGUCACGAAAGUUGGUAACACCCAAAGCCGGUGGCCUAACCCUUUUGGGAGGGAGCCGUCUAAGGUGGGAUUGGCGAUUGGGACUAAGUCGUAACAAGGUAACCGUA
rnacentral:rRNA from 1 species